CGCGCUCGGAGGCCGCGAGCACGGCACUGCACUCCUCUGGGUUCGUGGAUCCGCUUCUUCGUCGGGAAUCGACGAAGCGAGAAAUGAUUUCUGAUGUUGGAGAAUCUAAUACUGCAGACGGCGCAAAAUAGCUAUUUUUCUGCAGAUAUGACUCUUCUCCAGAGACGUACUCAAACAUUCCCACUUUUUUCAGCAAAUUAUGGAUUACCUCCCGGAUAGGAGAGACCAUCACGAGCCAACAAAAAGCGAACGACGAGGAUGGGAUUCGAACCCACGCGUGCAGAGCACAUUGGAUUAGCAGUCCAACGCCUUAACCACUCGGCCACCUCGUCCGUUGCCAAAAGGAAGUGCGUUUACCAAAGCAACUUGUCCGUUGUAAUCGUCCGUAAUUGAGAUUAUAUAUGUUCUAAGUAGUGAAUGUGAAGUUCUCAUAACGAAUCGUUCCCGAGUCGAAAAGUACAAGAGAUUCGAUUAUCCGUAAAAAUAUUUAUUAUUGAAUUU